CCUACGGGUGGCUGCAGUGGGGGAUAUUGGACAAUGGGGGGAACCCUGAUCCAGCGACGCCGCGUGAGUGAAGAAGUAUCUCGGUAUGUAAAGCUCUAUCAGCAGGGAAGAAGAAAUGACGGUACCUGACUAAGAAGCCCCGGCUAACUACGUGCCAGCAGCCGCGGUAAUACGUAGGGGGCGAGCGUUAUCCGGAUUCACUGGGUGUAAAGGGAGCGUAGACGGCCAUGCAAGCCAGGGGUGAAAGCCCGGGGCCCAACCCCGGGACUGCCCUUGGAACUGCAUGGCUGGAGUGCGGGAGGGGCAGGCGGAAUUCCUGGUGUAGUGGUGAAAUGCGUAGAUAUCAGGAGGAACACCGGCGGCGAAGGCGGCCUGCUGGACCGCGACUGACGUUGAGGCUCGAAAGCGUGGGGAGCGAACAGGAUUAGAUACCCGAGUAGUC
rnacentral:rRNA from 1 species